CCUACGGGGAGCAGCAGUGAGGAAUAUUGGUCAAUGGGCGGAAGCCUGAACCAGCCAAGUAGCGUGCAGGAUGACGGCCCUACGGGUUGUAAACUGCUUUUAUACGGGAAUAACGCGCCUUACGUGUAGGGCGUUGCAUGUACCGUAUGAAGAAGGACCGGCUAAUUCCGUUCCAGCAGCCGCGGUAAUACGGAAGGUCCGGGCGUUAUCCGGAUUUAAUGGGUUUAAAGGGAGCGUAGGCCGCAUGUCAAGCGUGCUGUGAAAUGUCCGGGCUCAACCCGGGCCUUGCAGCGCGAACUGGCGUGCUUGAGUCCGCGGAAAGCAGGCGGAAUUCGUCGUGUAGCGGUGAAAUGCUUAGAUAUGACGAAGAACCCCGAUUGCGAAGGCAGCUUGCUGCAGCGGAACUGACGCUGAUGCUCGAAAGCGCGGGUAUCGAACAGGAUUAGAUACCCGAGUAGUC
rnacentral:rRNA from 1 species